GUGAAUCAUCAAAUUUUUGAACGCAAAUUGCACUCCCUGGUAUUCCGGGGAGUAUGCCCGUUUGAGGGUCAGCCUAAAAAAAAUCGACAUCGUUGCUGUUUCGCGGUGGCGUUCGUCGGAAAUUGGGUUAUCUUAAACCUUUUGGUUUAAGCGACUUAAAAUUUUCUUUUUGAUUCCAUGAACGUGUUUCUAAGAUUUAUUUCUUUACACGUUUAAGGUAUCGAUUUUUACUAGACGUGACCAUCAUAUCGGAUCGCGUCCAUAAUCUUUCAUUAACUGACCUCCGACAGGUAAGAGUAC
rnacentral:misc_RNA from 1 species